GACGAACGCUGGCGGCGUGCUUAACACAUGCAAGUCGAACGGAAAGGCCCUGCUUUUGUGGGGUGCUCGAGUGGCGAACGGGUGAGUAACACGUGAGUAACCUGCCCUUGUCUUUUGGAUAACUUCAGGAAACUGGGGCUAAUACCGGAUAGGAGCUCCUGCUGCAUGGUGGUGGUUGGAAAGUUUCGGCGGUUGGGGAUGGACUCGCGGCUUAUCAGCUUGUUGGUGGGGUAGUGGCUUACCAAGGCUUUGACGUGUAGCCGGCCUGAGAGGGUGACCGGCCACAUUGGGACUGAGAUACGGCCCAGACUCCUACGGGAGGCAGCAGUGGGGAAUAUUGCACAAUGGGCGGAAGCAUGAUGCAGCAACGCCGGGUGCGGGAUGACGGCCUUCGGGUUGUAAACCGCUUUCGCCUGUGACGAAGCGUGAGUGACGGUAAUGGGUAAAGAAGCACCGGCUACCUACGU
rnacentral:rRNA from 1 species